UACGAAGGGGGCUAGCGUUAAUCGGAAUUACUGGGCGUAAAGCGCACGCAGGCGGUCUGUCAAGUCGGAUGUGAAAUCCCCGGGCUCAACCUGGGAACUGCAUUCGAAACUGGCAGGCUAGAGUCUCGUAGAGGGGGGUAGAAUUCCAGGUGUAGCGGUGAAAUGCGUAGAGAUCUGGAGGAAUACCGGUGGCGAAGGCGGCCCCCUGGACGAAGACUGACGCUCAGGUGCGAAAGCGUGGGGAGCAAACAGG
rnacentral:rRNA from 1 species